AACGAACGCUGGCGGCAGGCUUAACACAUGCAAGUCGAACGGGUGUAGCAAUACAUCAGUGGCAGACGGGUGAGUAACACGUGGGAACCUUCCUAGGGGUACGGAACAACUCAGGGAAACUUGAGCUAAUACCGUAUACGUCCGUGAGGAGAAAGAUUUAUCGCCCUUAGACGGGCCCGCGUCGGAUUAGGUAGUUGGUGGGGUAAUGGCCUACCAAGCCUACGAUCCGUAGCUGAUCUUAGAGGAUGAUCAGCCACACUGGGACUGAGACACGGCCCAGACUCCUACGGGAGGCAGCAGUGGGGAAUCUUGGACAAUGGGCGCAAGCCUGAUCCAGCCAUGCCGCGUGAGUGAAGAAGGUCUUCGGAUUGUAAAGCUCUUUUGCCAGGGACGAUAAUGACGGUACCUGGAGAAUAAGCCCCGGCAAACUUCGUGCCAGCCGCCGCGGUAACAC
rnacentral:rRNA from 1 species